rnacentral:lncRNA from 1 species
UCGUUCCAAUGAGAAUGAAGGCUGAGGUGUGCGCCUUUUUUUUUUUUUCCUUCUUAGUCGUGUGUACAUCAUUGGGAAUGGAGGGAAAUAAAUGACUGGAUGGUCGCUGCUUUUUAAGUUUCAAAUUGACAUUCCAGACAAGCGGUGCCUGAGCCCGUGCCUGUCUUCAGAUCUUCACAGCACAGUUCCUGGGAAGGUGGAGCCACCAGCCUCUCCUUGAAUAACUGGGAGAUGAAACAGGAAGCUCUAUGACACACUUGAUCGAAUAUGACAGACACCGAAAAUCACGACUCAGCCCCCUCCAGCACCUCUACCUGUUGCCCGCCGAUCACAGCCGGAAUGCAGCUGAAAGAUUCCCUGGGGCCUGGUUCCAACCGCCCACUGUGGACUCUGAGGCCUCUGCAUUUGCGGGUGGUCUGCCUGUGAUAUUUUGGUCAUGGGCUGGUCUGGUCGGUUUCCCAUUUGUCUGGCCAGUCUCUAUGUGUCUUAAUCCCUUGUCCUUCAUUAAAAGCAAAACUAAAGAAAACAGAAAAAAAAAAAAA